AUUAAAUUUAAAAAAGCUAUUAUUUUCAAAAAAAGUGGUGUCAAUGUGAGUGCAGUCAAAGUGAAAUCUAAUAGUUUGAUCAGUUUAAGGUGUCUGGCUCAUAGGCUGUAUAUAAAAUGGACGCCGUCAGCCGCCUCACUGGGUAAGGCCCAUACACUGUAUAUACUAUGGACAACUUGGUUUCGCCUCCCGCCUGUAUACGGAUUUGAGGCCAAAAAGCUCUGGGUAUUUCCGCGAUUUUUCUUCAUUUCCUGAAACCAGCAUUGCGCAGUAGCGAUGUGCGCAUUCAGCGGGAGACUCACAGAGAGUCGCUGUGAUGACACUCGGCUCAAACAGCGUAUCCACCAGGUGAGCUAUGCAAUCCCUGAACGCCAAUAGACUGUAUCAGGUGUCAAUCAUAGAAAACAUGAACCUUCUAAUAGCUUUUCAAAAAUGGAGCUGUACAGAAAAAAGAGGACUUGAGCACAAAGCAGUCUUAAGGUCCUUACACAAUAAGUCAAAUUUUUUUUCGAACCCGUAUCCUGUCAAUACAAGCAUUCACAUCAGCGAUGUUUUCCCGUUGUGCAAUACUGCGGCAUUUAUUUUUUCGGAUCAUGGUCGAUUUUUCUAAAGUUUCGCAUACUGUGUAUCGAAACAGUAUGGGGGGGGGGGGUUUGUCUCUUUCUUUCUUGUUUUAUUUUGUUGUUAUGUUUAUGUUUGUGCUGUAUUAAGUAGAUGUAGAUUUUGUUUUGUAAUACAAAGUCACUUUACUUAUCUAUAAAUAUCAGGUACAUCUAAACAAGUUGCGAGGAGGUUUGGUGUGGGUACUUAAUAUUUAAAGGGAAGGGGUGGGAGUUCCUAAGUUAUUCUUUUUCUCACUCCUUUUCGAAGAUUUAUUUCUAUGUUUUAUGUUAACAUUUUUUAUGUUUGAAUAUUUUGCCUUACUUUUCUUGUAUUAUUUUUUAUAUAUAUUUUUGGUUUGCAUAUUCGAAAUAAACCUCAAUAAAACUUCAAUCAAUCAAUGUGGUGGUAGUAAGAUGAGAUAAGAUAGAUGUUUUUUUGAGAGCUUACAAGUAGCCUUACUCUUACAAAUUCAGCCACACGGUUUCUCCAGUUGGACAUAUUCACACAGUCACCACGUUUCCUCUUGUGGCGAGCAACAAGCUCAAAUGCUGUUUUAUUACUGCAACACUGUUUGAAAAUCACUUACUUAGGAAUUCUGACAAACUGUGAUUAGUUUAAAACAGGCUCAUAAAAAUCUUGAGGACCAUCAGGCCAAGGGCUUUUUUGUUCCAAGUUAAACACCAUAGAUACCCUUGAGCUUCUUGCUUAACAGCUAGCUUUUUAAAACAAUAACAUGAAAGCUUACUUGAAUUUGAAAUUGCAAAAGAAAGCUUUAAUUUGCCAUCAGUAAUCUAAGCUAACAAUAGCUGGGAAUUUGUUGUGUGCUCGGAUCAGCUGUACAUAUUGGCUAUGAAUCUAAAAGGUGAUGUUACAGUUGUGUUAACCAGUUUAUGAUUAUAUAAACAAGGAAAACAAAACUUUUUAGUAUUGUCUCUGGUAAUGUAAUAAUGAUCAUUAGCAAUUACGAAUCAUAACUAAUAUUAAAUCUCCCGCGGGAGUUUUUUUUUAACAAAAAUGAUGACAGACUAAAAUUUAUGUUUACUCUUUUUUAUAAUAUCCAAAAGCAAACAAGACCACAAGCGGCAUAAUUGCAGAUUUUUAUAUUUAUUGUAAUUUAAGUGCCUGAAUCUGUUGCCAAGGGGGUAGGUCUCAGCCUUGCAGCUAAAGAAACAGCCCAAUAGAUUUUGAUCACUUUACUUGAAAUAUGAACUUGUUGCCCAACAGAUUUCCAGAGUUGUGAAUCAAUCAAUGUAGUGGUGGUGAAAAGGAAAACAGUAUAUACAGAUCUUAGACAUUCCAAUGAUUUGAAAACCAAAAAAAAGUGCAACAACUAAACAUUAGUGCUUGAGUUCCCCUGGAAAAUACCCUGCAUGCCCAUUUGUGUUUGCAAGUUUUUCUUACUUUUCUUCAGCUGAGCUGAAUUUACACCACAUCGCGACUACAGGUCCCCCCCUCCCAGCAGCUGUAAAGGCCAUGGCUACUCGUUUGCUACCUGUGUGCACACAUAAGCCGGUUUCACACUCGAUGUGUUCUUCCAACAGGACACAUCUGCUGGGGAGGAUUUCCAUUAGCGGGGUGGCUAUAGAGGCUGAUUCGUCACUCUGUCGAGUGUGCCUGUGUGUGUCUGAGAGCAUUUUCAUAUAUGCAGUGAUGGCAGUCUCUUUAAUGUCACGCUCCUCAUUUUUCUCUGGCUGCUGACCGCUGACAGGGGCGACAAGGUGUGGAUGACAUGGGAGUGAUAUGUUCUGGCUGUGUGUGUGUGUGUGUGCGUGUAAGGGUGGGAUCCACGUGCAUAUGCACACGUGAUAUCAUUAGAGAAUUUCACAGAUGAGCAGGGGCCAUCUUUUUUUUUUUUUACUCUCAGCCAAAUCUUCAGCAUGAGGGAAAUGAAGGAGACAAUUACACACACACACAUUGAACACACUCCUUCAUCUGGGACACACUUUCCUCACUUUGAGAGAAACAAUUUCUCAAACUAACACAUGCUAUGUUGCCCUCAACUGUGCACACACACACAGGCACACACACACACACUCAACAAUGGUAGGCUCUCUUGCUCACAAACACACUUCCCUUUGUUUUCAGACAAAGGCUUGCUUCGGCAGCUUUGUCAUGAUUCUACAAAAGAUUUCUGUAGCCAAAGGAGAGGUCUUAACAGGGAUCUAGUCAGUGAUUGGGUAAAAAUCACUCACAUUGUUCUCCCUCCUUCACUCUCAUCUCUCCUCCUCUCCCUCAUCGUCUCUCUUUCUCUUUCUGCCUCACCUCCAGUGGAGGAGCAUUACUUGCGGGCAGGCAGUCAUUUAGCUCUCUCUUCCGGUGCACCUUUGUAGCAACUUGUGGAGGUAGUGCCGGUGUCUUGUGUGGGCUGAUGAUCAGAGAGCUGGAGCUUCAGAGGGGUAGUGAGGCUCAGAGAGGAUCAGGCAGCCGAGAGAGCAGCAGAGGUGACGUCUGUCAGGAGGGGUUUGAUCUCUGCAUACCGGAGAAAAUGCUGUUCGUUUCAUGGCAAAUUUCUGUCUGGUUGUGGUGAGAUUUGGUUUGACAAACGGCAGCUGUUGUCUUUUAAAUUAGUGAUAAACGAGUCAAGGCUGGGAUGAAAAAGGUGCAAUGAUUAAGAUGUUCAAAGAGAAGAAUGAAGAUUUAAAUUGAAUGUUUCUCAUCUGCAUCCAAAUCUCUCUGCUAUAUCAAACGUCUGAAAAACAGCUUGUUUAUUUACAAAGGACUGACCUCAGACUGUGACAGAAAACAGGUAAUAACUUCCUGUAAUCAAAGACGGAUGUGAGUCAUCUUAAAAUGUGUGUGCUUGUGUGUCCAUAUGCACUCCUAUGUGUCCAGGUUUGUGUGUGUGUGUGUGAUAGGCAGUGAAAAAAGCAAAGAGAUGCAAAGAUUACAGAGCUAGACUAAUACAGCGCUUCCUGUCUCUUUCCAUCCAAUUUGACAAUGAAUCAAUUUUAAAUUACUUUAGUCAACGGAUCAACAGAUCAUUUCCGCCAGACAACAAACUCUUAAUUAAACACCAAAGAGCUUAACUAGGUUAAAUCAGAUGUUCUCAUUGUUCAUGAUAUUCUGGGGGACUUUUUCAAAACAUUUAAACAAAAGUUUUAAUCCUGAUAAUCAAAAAAAAAAUCAAAAGAUAAGACAAAACUUUAAAAACAGCUGAAGUUAAAGACAAUCUCAUUACAACAGUUAAACAUGGGAUCACAGAGUCUGGUAAUAAACUAUGUGUGGAUAAUCUUUGCAGAGGUAGCACCACCAGCCUUCAGUCCCCUUAACAGUCCAGCGCACACAUGCCUGAGCAGGUUAUGUAUUGCUUUAGUCAGAAACCGCCUAAGUCCUACUUUAUCUCCAUUUUUAGACCUAAACGCUGCCAAACUGCAUCAAAAUCAUUCUUCAUCUGAGCUUUGUUUACCUAGUGGUGGUUGGGUAUUAAAACAUGAUGGUGAGUGGCUGCACGACAGCCUAAAAAACAACAUCUGACUGACAAUCUGGGCCUACGACAAUGAAUAUAUUGAUACUCUUGAAGACAAACAAGAGUGAGUUUUUUUUUUUUUCAAAAGAAAGUUUUAUAAUGUUGUUUAAUCAUGUAGUUGACUAAUGUAAACAUCCGUGCUCAAAACCUAGCAAAGGAAAUAGAUAAAAUGGCUUUCAAUUUUUGUGUUUGGUGUGUUCAGUUUGUUUUUCUCGCCUUACAAUACAAACAUUUCCAUCCAUUUUUUCUGUUUAUUAUGGUUAUUCCUGAAUGUUGAAUCUACUAAAAGACUAUUUAUGACUAUUUAUGAAUUAUGAAUUAUCUAACUCUUUCAGAUAUGUAAAUAAUAUAAGUAUAAACUCUAGUAGUGCUCUUCUAGUUUUUAACAGGUGUCAAUAUCUCUCCCUAAAGGCGAGUAUUUUUCCAAUUAUUUGCUAGAAUACGAGACUUAUUAAUAGACUAAAAGAUUUCCAGUCUACACUCCGAGGGCAUUAGAGAAGAUUUUCUCCUUCACUGAAAUCCUCUGCAGCCUGGGGACUAAACACUUUCAACAAGCAGGUCAUAUUCCCUGUCGCAUUCGCUCAGUUACUCUAAUACUUGAGGAAUUGUAGAGGACGAUCAUCAGAGGACACCAAAUAGAGGCUUACUGGAGUUUUUAGAGAUAAAAUAGUGCUCAUGUAUCAGUCUUAAGGAAAGAGCACAAUGUGGGGAAAAAAACAUCAUCCUACUAAAAUCUCAGAACCUGAAAAAUGGGCAUUAUGUUUUAAGGAUUACACACUAGGUUGGUUAAGAAGAUUAGUCCAUCUUUGUUCUUAUGAAUCCCUGGAUGAACUGUGAAGUGUGCAGAUGGCAGUUUACUCAAAAUAUUAUUUAUUUAGCUGUCAAUUUAGUUUUAAUGUUCUUCUGAGUUAUUUUUUUGUAAAACUAUUUCACAGCUUUUCAUUUCAUUUUUCCAGGUCAUGGUCUGUGUUAACACUCCCUCUGGUCCUGAAACCUGUCAUCAGGGAUGAAGGAUCCAACUCUAUGACAGGGGUCAUAACCUGAGAUCAAGGACUGGGCCCUUUGACUGGACUGAAACACGGGGCUCCUGAACUGCAGUAGUGGCCAUGAAUAACCCAACCAAGAUCAAACAGACCCUUCAAUUUGAUGGAAAAGCUUACGCACAGUCUUUGGCCCCUGAAGGCUAUUGAGUAAGCAAAGCCAGCUCUGAGUCCCCAUACACCAGAGAAUACCCAACAAUGGUCCAACACAUUGUCUUGUUAGCAGCUAUGCUCCUCUGUUUCUCCGCACCUAUGACAAUGAUCCAGUACGAUACAAUCUCUUCAUCCCUUUAGGACCCUAAAACCCCCAAUGAGUCAAUUAUUAUGCGGCCAAAUAUCGUUGAAACUCACAGAACCUUAUUAAAAAUUCUGCUUGUGAUUUUGAGAUUUCCAAAUCUGUCAAGCUGAAUUACUGCACAAAUGCAGACAGGCAACCCAACCAGAAUUUACCAUGUGCAGCUACAGCCAUCAAACCAAAGCUGUGACAUUUACUCGAUACAAAAGUGUGAGAAAGCUUUUAGGUAGUGGAAUGAAAUCCAAUUUCAUGGAUUACAUCACUGGCCGCUGUGGAAACCCUGUUAUCUCUCUGAAGAUAUGUUUUUAAAAAAUGAGUACGACCCAAAGCCUCAACACAAUAAAGCUAUUACCAAUGUUAGAAACAAAAUAGAACGCAAAUGCAUUUUUGACCAAUAUCAAACUGGAAACAAUAAAUCUGAGAGUAGCUGGGAGGUAGCAUGAGCUUCACCUAACCAAAAAUUGUGCAAACGCCAAAUAUUCAUUUUACUCAAGCAUUGUAACUUCUACUUUACAAUGUGUGAGACAAAUAUCAAGUAAUAUACGGGACACAUGAACCAAAGCAGCACCAGCAACAGCCAUCCUUGAGAGAUGGUUUAAUACUGGCUAACAAAGACUCUGCAAGGAUCAUCAUCAGGAGAAACGUACUGCAAAUGAAGAAACAAUACAACUGCAAAAACUGAUGCAAAAGUCCAAAACAAACCCAGCAGUGGAAACAUGCUGCAAAUAAUGUGCUGGAGUGACUCAAAACAACCACACUAGGACAUGGGGACAUAUGUCAUUGGACACACUCAGCUCUGACAGUGUUUUUUUAUUGGUAAUACUCUUUAAUAUCAGAUAAAUUCAACGUCUCGUCUUCUUUAUCCCAUCAAUAAUUCAGAUGUAUCUCUCAGUGCCUCUAGAGGCCUGGAGCACUUCUGCUGAGAAGUUUUGCUUAUUCUUUUGCAUUUAGCUUUUUUAUUUUUGCAGCUGCUUUCUGUCUGUUUUUGCUAUGUCUCAUUUGUGUGAGCUUGAAAGCUCAUGACUGAAGUAAAAAUGAAGUAAAAAAAAUCUCUCAGCAAUGGAUAAUAAAUGAGUGAAUGACCGCACAAUCUGUGUGUCAACACUCAGUUACUACGAAACUCAUGUCUCGACUUUAAGCAACAAACACACUGCUUUGACCAGAGCAUUUAAAUGUAUGUUGCAUUGCACUAACAGCAAUUUCAUUUGCAAUAACAGCCCAAGAAAAACUCCUCCGGGUGUCAAAUGUCCACAGUGUAAGAUUCCUUGAAAAUGAUCUGAAAUGCUUUGCACAAGGGUAAAUGUAAUGAACCACUAAUUAUCAUUAUUAUUUCAGCAACAAAUAUAAAGUACUUUUGCACCCACACAGUGCCUUGAGUAGAACUGUUUACUUCUGAGCUUUAGUGUUUGCAUGUGAGAUAACAGGACCAAUGGGCUUUAGAAAGCUUUUUAAUUUUGUUUCAACAUCUAAUUGCCCAUCUGUGUCUCAAGAGCUGAAAUUAUAUAAAGACGUGUGGAAUUCAAUUAGCCGUUCACGUUUCAGGGACCUCUCUUUGUUCAUGCUGGAUCACAAAAAUGGUUCACUGACUCACCAAAGAACAAUUUGCGCCAUUGCUACGAUUGGUCACACUGUGGCAUUUACAGCCAUAACUUAUCAAAAUAUUGGUAUCUUUCUGCUGUGAUAAAGGGGUACAGUAGGUGCAGUAAGUCACAUUUUUACUUAACGUAGCCACUGCCGUCAAACUUGAAAUAUGUAUCGGUGUUUGUAUGCGCAGGCUUUCUGAUUGCCUCAGUUUUAACCUCUGUAAUUUCCACAUGAGCAGGAAAUGUAAUGGUAACACUAAAUCACGAUGCUUAUGCGCACUAUUUGCACUUAAAGUUUCCAUACAUAUGUGCUGAGGGAUUCGAACCUUUUAUGGUACAAAUCUUGUCUUUUGUUAGCUCUCCUCGGCUCAGUCGCUCGGAGCAAAAAUUAUGUGAUUUUUUUUUCCCCAAUAAUGCCUCUUUUGAAGUGUUUAACACAUGCUUCACUAAUUUUCCUCAUUACUGAGCACAGUUUUGUAUUCCAAUACCAAACUCAAGGAUACUGUACACAUUGUUGCCAAUGUAGUCUCAUCAAUAAUUCAUCCAUUGGAUAAUUUAUUCAUUAAUGACCUUACCAUGGAAGUCUGGGAGAAGACAGUGGAUUAGUGCAUCUCAGAGGAGAUACAUCUGUUCUCCCCUGUUUUUCUCCCUCCCUGCUCGACUCUCAUCAUGUGAAUGCAGUACAGAUAAAGAGCAACAACAUUAAAAAGCAUCCACACAUUAACUUACAUCUUUUAAGAUCUUUGUUUCUCUUAAUAACUGAGAUCAGAAAUCAGAUUUCAUAAUGACUUGUUUUGGAUUGUUAGUUGAGGGUUGCGUAAGAUCAGCAAGUUCAACUAUCAUUGUCUUUUCAUCUGUGAUGAAAGGGAUAACAUAACAAAAGCAAGGCCAGUUAUUUUUUUCUUUUUCUCAUCUCAUGUGGUUUGAUCAACUAUAUUAGGGCCAGCUGAUGUUGCAACAGAGAUUAAAAAAAUUUAGUCCAGGUAUGAAAUUCAAUUAGGAAAUGGGAGAAAAGAACAGACUUUAUAUCAGCAGUCACUCCAAUACUAAAAAAUACAGACUUUCCUCCAAGUAUGAGUGAUGAUGGGUUUUCUCUUUGGGGAGAUGCAGGUAUAAAAACUCUGAAAGAUCUCUUUGAAGGGGAUAAUAUGAUGUCAUUUGAGUAACUAAGACAAAAAUAUGAUCUACCUCAAACACAUUUCUUUAGAUUUCUGCAAGUAAGAAGCUUUAUACAUGACCAAACUAAAUAUAAAUUUAGCAUAGAAAUGUCACCAGUUGAAGAAUUACUCUCAAAAUAAGAAGUAAUAAAUCAAUAUUAGGACUAUGCUAUGAAGCCCUCUACAAAUCCAGUAAAGCUAAAAAGCCACCCUGCAGGUGUGGCCCCAAGAUCUUGAGGUGGAUAUUGACGAGGAUAUAGGGACAAGUAUAUGGGAGCAUACCGGUUAAAUAUCUGUGUGUAACAGAGCUAAAGAGUUGCAAUUCAGGCUACUACACCACCUUCAGAUCUCUUCUUAACUUAGACAUAUGAUGGACCCUGAAAAGUCGGCUGUAUAUAUCAAAUGUUGAAAGGAGGUUGGCAGUUUUAUACAUUCAAUAUGGUCAAGCAUUCAUAUUCAAGACUUUUGGAUCAAAAUUAUCACAAAGCUUAAUUUGGUUUUCAGUAUGAACAUAAAGAUGGAUCCAGAAUGCCUCCUCUUAGGAACGCCUCAUCCUCAAAUGAAUGACACUCACAAUCAAAAACUGCUUAGCAUGUUAACAUAUUCUGCAUGAAAAAGAGUACUAUUGAAAUGGAUUUAACAUAAACCACCAACUGUUUCUGACUGGCAUGAGGUCAUAAUUGAUUUGCUUCCUAUGGAAUAUUAGACAUAUUGAUCCAGAGGGACAAUUGGACAGUUGUAUCGUGUAUGGACUCCAUUUCUUGAUUAUGUGGAGCCAAGGAUAUGCAGUUUAUUCUGGAGGACUCUUCACAAACCAAGACAAGAUGGCUAGUGGACUGGGGAGGCUCUGUUGUCUGUAUUGCUUCUAUCAUUGUAUGUGAUAUGUAUGUGUAAGGCUUCAAUACUCUGGUACUAUACUUGUUUAUGCAGGACUGUGCUGUGAUUAAGUUGAAAUUUGUUUUUAUUUGGGGAUAGGGUAUUAAUGAAAAAAAAAAGAAGUAUGCACUAUUUGUUAAAAUUGGGAUGCUUAAUGUUCAAUUUUUUUUUCUUUUAAAUUAGUCCACAAAAUGUGUUUGAAGAGUAGUAACUAAAGUCUGAGUAACAACUUUGCUGCAUUUAAAAAUAAAGUUAUUUAAUCACCAGAAA